AUUGAACGCUGGCGGCAUGCCUUACACAUGCAAGUCGAACGGCAGCACGGGUGCUUGCACCUGGUGGCGAGUGGCGAACGGGUGAGUAAUACAUCGGAACGUACCUUAUCGUGGGGGAUAACGCAGCGAAAGCUGUGCUAAUACCGCAUACGCCCUGAGGGGGAAAGCGGGGGAUCGAAAGACCUCGCGCGAUUAGAGCGGCCGAUGCCUGAUUAGCUUGUUGGUGGGGUAAGAGCCCACCAAGGCGACGAUCAGUAGCUGGUCUGAGAGGACGAUCAGCCACACUGGGACUGAGACACGGCCCAGGCUCCUACGGGAGGCAGCAGUGGGGAAUUUUGGACAAUGGGGGCAACCCUGAUCCAGCAAUGCCGCGUGAGUGAAGAAGGCCUUCGGGUUGUAAAGCUCUUUUGUCAGGGAAGAAACACCGGCUCUAACACAGUCCGGGAAUGACGGUACCUGAAGAAUAAGCACCGGCUAACUACGUGCCAGCUGCCGCCGUAA
rnacentral:rRNA from 1 species